AGUUAAAAUUGGGUUAUACUAGAGUAAGGUGGGCCCUGAUCCAAUAUGACUGGUGUCCUUACAAAAAGGGGAAAUUUGGAGACAGACAAGUAUACAGGGAAAACGUCUUGCACAGAUGGAGGCAGAGAUUAGAUGAUGCUUCUACAAGCCAUGGAACACCAAAGACUGUGAGCAAACCAGCAGAAGCUAAGGGAGAGGCAGGGGAAUAGAUUCGUCCUCAAAGCUCACAAAAGGAACCAACUCUAUUGACAUCUUGAUCUUGGACUUCUGGCCUCCAGAACUAUGAUCCAGUCAAUUUCUGUUGUUUAAGCCACCACAUUUGUGGUGUUUUGUUACAGCAGUUCUAGCAAACUAAUACACCCCCUAAGGUAAAUUCCUGCAAGUAGAAUUUCUACCUCAAAGGGAAACAUGUACUAAACCUUUUGAUACAUAUUUCCAUCCACAAGGGUUGUACCUGUCUGCAUUCCCGGUAGCAGUAUAUACAAGUAUUCAUUUCAUCAUACUCUUACUAACACAGGAAUUCAGAAUUUGCUCUGUAACAUUUCACAGUUUAAUAAGUAAAACUAUCUAUUACUUAUAUUUUAAUGUUCAGUAUUUGAUAAUUAAUACUUGGAUAUAUUUAUAUGUUUAUUGAUUCUUUUGUGAAUUGCCUGGUCUCCUCCUUUGCCCCUUUCUCUGCUGGCCAGCUUGCCUAUCAUUAUUGAUUCAUAAAAAUCCUUUAUAUAUUAAAGCUACAGACCCUUUUCACAAAGAGAUGCAGACACACAUAUACACACAAAGUAAAUACCUUAUCUAUUCAAGUUUUUAUUUGCCUUUUAUUUUUGAUAGUCUGUAUCUGUGCUAAGACAGCACCUCUAGCCACAUGUGGCUACUGAGACUUGAAAUAUGGCUGAUCUUACUUGAGAUGAGCUGUAAUAAAUAAAAUGCAUGUGAGAUUCCAAGGACUUAGCAUGAGAACAAAGAAUGUAAAAUAUCCCAUUAAUAAUUGUUAGUAUUGAUUUUAUGUUGAAAUGAUAAUGUUUUUGAUGUAUUGAAUUAAAUAAAAUACAUUGCUGAAAUUGA
rnacentral:lncRNA from 1 species